AUGGAACAUUCCCCACAGCUCUGUCACCUGAACAUUCCUCCUGAAAAAUCUGUGAGUCAGUUGGACAAACUUCACUUCAGUCCUGCCGGCAAUAUAGCACCCUUUAAUUACACUGGCCUCUAUACACUCUACUACCCUGUGUAUAACCUGCAGGCCAGUUCAUGAGGCAGUGCUGCAGCCAGCAAUGUCAUAAAGUCUAAAUUUUGUUUUUGCUGUUACUCUCAAGCUAGAUAUAAAUUAAUUCAGGACCACUUAUGACCAUAAUAUUGUGUGGCUUCACAUAAUUCCAGUAAUACAGAAAUAACGUUUUGUAGCAUUUUGUUGUCAAUGUUAUAGUUUUAGGUCAAGUUUUAGUUUUGUUUUUGUUUUUGUCUCAUGUCGUGUUUUUAGCAGCUCUUUUCCUCAGCCUUGUCACAGACCUGCUCCCCCUCCCUUCACAGAUCCUCAGGUAAUCAGCUCAUGCAACUCACCUGUGUCCCUCUGUAUUUAAGCCAGCAGUUUCCCUCAGCACUCUGCCAGUUUAUCAUCAGCCAGUCUAUGAUUCACAAGCAUUCUUGUCCCACCCAUGUCCUGUUCUGAUCUCGGCUCCUUGACCCCCUUCUCGUCUCUUGGAUUACCACCUCUUGCCUCAGCAGCCCGUGUCGGAUACCUUCUGCCAUCUGCUCUUCUGGAUUGUUUGUGACGUCAUCGUGUUGCUCCGGAACCAAACUGACACAGUCUGCGUUUCCACACGGAGGCUCCCAGUUGACACCAGAAAACCGGACCCACGCACCUGGGUUGUUCCAGCUCCACACCAGCAAUUUUAAUAAAAUUUGUAAACCUUUA